rnacentral:snoRNA from 1 species
UUGCAUGUGGAAAUGUCUACCCCUCAUUACUCUAGGGGUAGGAAUACAUCCAUAACAUGCUACAUUACAAAAGGAGUUCUCAGGGCUGCCAACCUUACAGUAGAGGUUGAGUAGUAGUAUAUUUCUCAUACAUAA